rnacentral:rRNA from 1 species
GGGACACGUGGUAUCCUGUCUGAAUAUGGGGGGACCAUCCUCCAAGGCUAAAUACUCCUGACUGACCGAUAGUGAACCAGUACCGUGAGGGAAAGGCGAAAAGAACCCCGGCGAGGGGAGUGAAAAAGAACCUGAAACCGUGUACGUACAAGCAGUGGGAGCCUCUUUAUGGGGUGACUGCGUACCUUUUGUAUAAUGGGUCAGCGACUUAUAUUCUGUAGCAAGGUUAACCGUAUAGGGGAGCCGAAGGGAAACCGAGUCUUAACUGGGCGUUAAGUUGCAGGGUAUAGACCCGAAACCCGGUGAUCUAGCCAUGGGCAGGUUGAAGGUUGGGUAACACUAACUGGAGGACCGAACCGACUAAUGUUGAAAAAUUAGCGGAUGACUUGUGGCUGGGGGUGAAAGGCCAAUCAAACCGGGAGAUAGCUGGUUCUCCCCGAAAGCUAUUUAGGUAGCGCCUCGUGAACUCAUCUUCGGGGGUAGAGCACUGUUUCGGCUAGGGGGCCAUCCCGGCUUACCAACCCGAUGCAAACUACGAAUACCGAAGAAUGUUAUCACGGGAGACACACGGCGGGUGCUAACGUCCGUCGUGAAGAGGGAAACAACCCAGACCGCCAGCUAAGGUCCCAAAGUCAUGGUUAAGUGGGAAACGAUGUGGGAAGGCACAGACAGCCAGGAUGUUGGCUUAGAAGCAGCCAUCAUUUAAAGAAAGCGUAAUAGCUCACUGGUCGAGUCGGCCUGCGCGGAAGAUGUAACGGGGCUAAACCAUGCACCGAAGCUGCGGCAGCGACACUAUGUGUUGUUGGGUAGGGGAGCGUUCUGUAAGCCGUUGAAGGUGUCCUGUGAGGGAUGCUGGAGGUAUCAGAAGUGCGAAUGCUGACAUAAGUAACGAUAAAGCGGGUGAAAAGCCCGCUCGCCGGAAGACCAAGGGUUCCUGUCCAACGUUAAUCGGGGCAGGGUGAGUCGACCCCUAAGGCGAGGCCGAAAGGCGUAGUCGAUGGGAAACAGGUUAAUAUUCCUGUACUUGGUGUUACUGCGAAGGGGGGACGGAGAAGGCUAUGUUAGCCGGGCGACGGUUGUCCCGGUUUAAGCAUGUAGGCGGAGGUUCCAGGUAAAUCCGGUUCCUUGUUAACGCUGAGGUGUGAUGACGAGGCACUACGGUGCUGAAGUAACAAAUGCCCUGCUUCCAGGAAAA